GUGACCUAGAGAUGGGCAACUUGCCCAGGGCCGUGCAACUGCAUCCAGCUCCGUGCUAUUUACUCGUUGCCAUAGACUACACCAGACAGGAUUUCUUUGUGGAGCCCUGCCUGUCCUGGAACUCACUAUGCAGACCAGGCUAUUCUGGAACUCAGACAUUCGCCUACUUCUGUCUCCUGAGAGCUGAAGUUAAAGGCAUGAACCCCCACACCUGGCUUAUCAUCUGUCUUCUCAACAAGAGACUUCCCACAGAGAAGGGAUUCCAUUCCUGGGUUCACGAAGAGAUGCUGAGAUCUAUGUACCCUUGGAGUUGUACAAAAAGUUACAGGGAGCACAUUUCAGUAGAGAGGCUGAAGACUCUCAUCCAGCCCGGAAAUGAGUGUCCCCCUAAAACCCUAGUCUGGGGCUGAGGUAGAAAGAUUGAGAGUUGGAGACUGGACUGGGUUACAUAACAAGAACCAAUCUAAAAGAAAGAAAAGAGUGUUUCCCCCAAUGCUAAAUACUGCUCAUGGCACCUUGCCGAAACUCCUCUUCCCUUUCAGCUAAAAAAGCCCAAGAACCUCCAAAGGCAGACAGCCUGGCUUGAGACAGGUUGGGAGCAGGUCUUAUCAAGAUGACACUAGCCAAACAGGGACGGCUGCCCUGACUCCAGCUGGGUUCCUAUGAUGCAGAUGUCUGAGGACACCACCAAGUUCCUGAGCAGGCUGUACUUGUUUAGGGUAGCUUGCCAGCAAAGGCAGAAAACAGCCUUUGUGGCAAUCCCGAGGGAGGGCCUGAAGCAAAGGUGGCCACCGAGUCUGUAGGAGCCUCUCCCCCACUGACCACAGAUGUAUUACAAUACAUCUCUGCUUCUUGCUGCCCGAGUCUCAGGCUCCUUUCCCGGUGCCUGCUGAUAAUCCCUGACACUGUUUGGAGGAAUGCGUCACUUUCUCAACUGUCUGGCUCUGGGUUCACCGCCUUCUGCGCCUCCUUUGGGAUAAGAUUGUUGGUCACUUGCCCAGAUUAAAAAUCCUCCCUGUUCUUGCAGAUGGCCAAAGAUGCUUCUUCCUUUUCUUCACAAUAGAAAACCGCGCAGUGUCAUCGAGGCGCCCGUUUUAUACACAUCUAGCGAUGCCCACUUGUGAUGGAGGCAGCCCCCGGGCUGAUUACCCGAGACCUAGGUUUUUCAGUGGCUCCCCACGGCAGUUGAAGGGCUUGUGUGGAACUUCUUCAGCUUCCCCCAGCUAAUUGCUCCGUACUCCAGGAAGUCUUUGCCGUCUCCGACUGAGCAAUGUUCCUUCUGUACGUACCCAGGUUGCCUAAAAUAAACCGUAGCACAU
ensembl:antisense Gm11961 predicted gene 11961